AAGUCGUAACAAGGUUUCCGUAGGUGAACCUGCGGAAGGAUCAUUAUUGAAUAAACUUGGUUAGGUUGUUGCUGGCUCUUAGGAGCAUGUGCACACCGACUCCAUUUUUAACCACCUGUGCACCUUGCGUAGAUCUGAUACUCUCGAGGAAACUCGGUUUGAGAAUUGCCGUGCAAACAGCUUUUCUUGUAUUCAGGUCUAUGUUUCUACAUACACCACAUGAAUGUAUUUUGAAUGUCGUCAUUGGCCUUGUGCCUUUAAAAACAAAUACAACUUUCAACAACGGAUCUCUUGGCUCUC
rnacentral:misc_RNA from 1 species